GUGGUGGCUCAGUGGUAGUGUGCUUGCCUAGCAUGCAUGAGGCACUGGGUUCCAUCCUCAGCACCACA
rnacentral:tRNA from 1 species